rnacentral:lncRNA from 1 species
UUAAAAUUACAAAUUUAAUUUUCAUAAUAAUAUAGUGUUCAAAAUAUAUAAUAGUUUAUUGUAGUAAGAAAGAAGUCUUACCAAAGAAGCAUAGGACAGAAAAUGGUCACCCCAAAUGCUGGGAGAAAAAGUGGCUGAAGGCUUAGGAUCAAAAGUGUCAUUUGGGCUUGAAGAUUGAGAUAGUGGAACUUCCAGAGAAGACAUAUUUCAAAAGAUUUCAAACUUGAAGCGAACUAGCCAAGUGUUAUUGCUUUUGUAUCAAGUGCUGGUGUGAGUUCAGGAGCUCAUUAGCUUUGCUAUUUAUAGUAUCGCUGACUAUCUACCCCGCACCCACUGGAGAAAAAAAAUAUCUACAGAAAUUUUACUGGUCGGUCAUCUUGGCUUUUUAAACUUUUUUUUAUUACAUAAAUUCUUAUCUUUAUUUUUUUAACAAAUAAUAGAAUAGUUUAUAUUAAAUUUAACUAAAUUACAAAAAAAAAAAAAAAAAAAAAAAGAUUCGAACACAAAACCACAUGAACAAAAAUUUUUAACCAACUGAACCACAAAUUAUUUACACAUAAAUUCUUAACUUAUGCUCUUCCCAAAUCUGAUCUUUAAUUUGUGGGUCCCCCACUCAACAAAUUAAUAAUAAUUUGUCUCCCUUCCCACUCAACAAAUUGGUUUUUUGUUUUUUAUUUUUUAUUUUUUCAGUGAGUAAACCAACGCGCACCGACUAAGGUCAGUUUGAUGAGCGGUUCCUAUAAUUCUUGGACAUCGGUUAACCGAACCGACUCGUGGUUACUUUUGUAUGUUUUAAUCAUAAUAGAUGGUGGUGUAUUUGUGGUCUCGUUUUGAGUGUCUAAUUAAUAGAAAUCAGGGCUGGGUUCGGUUGGCAAACCGUGCCAAAUUCCUUGUGCCACCUACCAGCCACAUACAUAAUUACUGAAAAUCAGUUACCGCUAGCCAACCGUCUUCUUACGGUUGCCAAAAAUUGAUUCAACCAAAAUUAUUGGCUGGUUCGGUUGGUAAAUGGCACAACCAGUGGUUUCCACUUCUUCCUCGCUAUCUUCCAGUUCUAAGGGCUCAAUUUGAUUUUCAGAUUGGGGUGCUUGUUCGGUUGCAUUGUGUGGUUCAUUUUAGGUUAAUCCAUGUUGUGCACUAGCGGUUGAUUGGCUAAACUCCAUCAUCCUAAACAUAAGCAAUGCAUAUACAUUCAAAAUCAUAUAUAUGUAUGUGUAUGUAUAGUAUUAGUAAUCAUCAUGCUAUCAAUUUUGUUAACAAUAUUUUCUAUAUUUAUUAUGGCAUGAAUCAUAUACAUAUAUACAUAUAUUUUUUAAACCCUAAAACUAAGGAGUCAUUUAUUUUCUAAAUCCUAAAACUGAGGAGUCAAGUAUGUAAAAAAUACCUAAAAUAUCUAAAUAGGAAUAUAUAUAUAUAUAUAGGUAUGUAUGGCAUACCGCCGGCAUACAAAAUCAAUUACCAAAGUCAUGCCAUUAAUUUUCGGUUUGGUAAAAUGCCAACCGAUAAUUAAAAAAUGCCAAAACUAUAUCAUACCAUUAUGAGCUGCCCGGUAUGGUUCGGUCGAUAAAUUAGUUUAUGGCAAAAUUUCCCACCCCUAGAUAUCACUUUUAACCAAAAAAAAAAAAAUAUAUCAGAGUAGAGAUAAGAUUCCCCUUUCCUUUCACUCACUCACACUCAACUCUCAGACCCUCGAAACCCUAUCGUUGUCUUCCCCAUCUCUUCAGUAGAUUGCCCUUCAUCGUUUAAAAGGUAAUAAUCAAAAGACUUCUGCUUUUGGGUUCAGUUUCAUCUGCUUUUGAAAUUUUUUUACAAUGGUCCCAUUCGUUUCUACUACUUUGGGUUUGAUUUCACCUGCGUUUUAUUCUUUCAUCUGCUUUUAUGAUUUUUUUAGUGGUCCCAUUUGUUUCUUCUUUUGGGUUUGAUUUCAUAUGCAUUUCUAUUCUUUCAUCUGCUUUGGUGGUUUUUUUUUACAGUCGACCCAUUUCUUUGAUUUUUUUUUCUUAGUUUUCUAGAUUCGUUGACAAUGAUUAAUGUAUUUGAUUAAUCAUUAAAAGUUGAUAAUGUUGUAUUUGAUUAAUCACUAAUAGUGGUUAGUGUUUGGGUAAUUAAUUAACAUUGGGCUGAAAAAUAUUAAAAGCCCAAGCAUGCAAGGGCUUUUUGGAUUUGAGUUAGUUGAAGCACAGGCCCAAGACAGAAUUAAAUAUUAUUUCUUGGCAGCCAAUGGACAGCAAGUCUAUGAUGGAAGUGAUAAGGGACAAAUGACAGCUCACCUUCGGUUCGAUGGCAACCCUUCAAUCCACUUACCUUCGGUUCGAUGGCAACCCUUCAACCCUUCAAGGGCCCUAUGUCAUAAAUCUAUGUCUUUGAUUUUGUGCGUAGUUUAAAGGGGAUUGAAGGUAACCAGUCAACUGACGUUGCCUCUCCUUGCUCCAUUAUAUCACUCACCUUGAAGUGCGUGGCCAAAACAUUUUCUGAGAAAAGUGAACGCGGAGAAAAUGGUAGAGUUAGUGAUGGAGAAUUCGCAGUUGGAGACCACAGAGGACUCGCAGAUUCUGUCAUGUAUGAUGAUAGCAAAAUCACCUUAUUGGCCUGAUGUCAUGAAAGUUGAACGGAUAUAAGUAAGAGUCGUGUUCUUCUAAAGUUCUUAUUUUGAGAUUACGUGGAGAUGAAAUGCAUAUUAAUUAUAAAAUUAUGCUAGUUGAGAUUCAAAAGCUUAAUAUAUUUAAUAAUUUAAUAAAGCAAAAUCACCACUUAAGUGUGAUUUGCGUUUGAAGAUUGAGAUGAUGGAACCUCCACAUAAGACAUAUUUCAACGAUUUCACAAGCCAAGUGUUAAUGCUUUUUGUAUCUGGAAGAGAUCUCCUUCGAAUCUCUACCACCAAAUUCUAGGGAUCCGGAGAUUCGAGCUCUUAAAAUUUGAUUCAACGGCUACAAAAAUGAGGCUUCUCUAAGAGCAACUCCACCCCUAAAACUUUGCACCAGCACCCAACGUAUUUGUCCACUCAACUAAACAGUAAUAGACCCCAGUGAACAGUAAUAAGUCAAAGCAUCUCCACCUCUAAAAAAAAUAGCAUAGUCCAUUUUAUUAAAUUAUUAUUAUUAUUUAUUAUAAAAUAAUAAAAAUAAUAAUUUUAUUUUUUAAUUUCUGAAUUUAUAAAAAAUAAAAUAAUAUUUUUAUUUUCUCCUUCCCAUCACCAUCAUUACCGUCAAACAACCGGCGACGCAGAGGGACCUUGAGAGGCGGGGAGGUGGUGGCGCAGAGGGAUCGGACAACGGCCGCGGCGAUGAGGGGAGGAGCGAGAGGAAGUAAGAUCGGAUGUCGACGGUGCCGAUGAAGAUUGAGUAGGUGAGGAGGAGGAGGAGGAAGGCGAAGGAAAUCCCCAGGAGAAUGGAGAUAUGGGUGCAAUGGUGGGGUGAAGUUGGUUGGCGCGUAAAAAAAAAAAGGUCCUGAUGUCACGCUGGCGUCAGAUAAGCCGGUCCCAAGGUCAGUAAAAAAUGGGCUGGUCUGGAGACUGGCACGGGCUGGGUGCCAGGCAAGUUUGUGGGCUGGAGUGGAUUGACAGGGUGCCAGCCUUAUUUUUUGACUGGGUGCUGGGCUAUUCCACCUCCGGUGGAGUUUCUCUAAAAGUUAUAAUAAUUGUAAUCGUUUGAUCAAAUUUCAAGAGUCUGGAUCCCUAGAACUUUAUGGGAGAUAUCCGGAGGGGAUCUCUUCCCUUUUGAAUAAGUGCGGGUGUCAGAUGUCGGUUGAGCAGUUCAUGAGCUUUGCUAUUUAUAAUAAGGAAAACUAAUGAAAAAUGCUUGAAAACUUUGAGUUUUAACAAUAAGGACAAAAUAAAGGGUAAAGUAAAUAGUACUAGAAUUGAUUUUUUAGUGUAAAAAUAUGAUUUUUUGUUAAAGUAAAUCGUAUCAUGAACUUUUCGUUAAAGUUCAUUUUAUAAUAUCGCUGAUAUACAGAAAUUCUUCACAAAUCUAAUCUUUUAUUUGUGGGUCUCCCACUCAAAAAAGAUAAUAAUUUGUCUCCCUUUCGAUUUGACAAACUCGAUUUUUUUUUUUUUUUUUUUUUUUUUUUUUGUGGUGAGUUUAGAACUAAAAGUAAUUUUGAUAGAGGGUUGUUUGAGCUAGCAUUGUUCAAGUUUGGCUUGUGUUACUUCUUAUAUGAACUUAUCUAGCUUGAGCAAACUUAAAACUUUAAGCUCGGUUCUGAGCUCAAGCUUUCUCAAUCUAUUUACCAGUUCCGCUCUUGUAAAAGAAAUUCACAAGUGGGUGGCACAUUUUAGUAAUCAAAUAUAUAAAACAUUAAGAAUAUGGCAAAAAAAAUUUCAAAUAUGAUAUAUUUAAAAUUUUCACAUAAAUGCUUUUUUUUCGUCACACGUCUUAAAAAAUGCAAAUUAAAGAUAGUCAACAUAAACUUUAAAAAAAAUUAAACAUAUUUUACUUUCUAAAGUGUAUCACAUACAAAUUAGGUGAAAAAAAAAUAUAAUCUUUUUUUUUACAACAAAAAGUUUUGAAUCAAAUUUAGUUUGAGUUGUCUUAUGAAAAAAUGUGAGCUUGCUCACGAACUUUACAUGCAAAAAAAAAUAUGAGUCUUUAAAUUUUAUAUAUGAUUUUCUUUUCUUUUAUUUAUGAAUUUUUUUGAGUUAACAUUAACAUGAAAAUUUAAGAUUAGAUUUAUAUCUCUCAUUUUGUCGAUUUGCUAUUGGUUGGAUUUCAAUUGUUUUUUUAAGCAACGAGGUAGACAUGACAAUAUCGUACAAAACUCGUUAAUACGACAAAAAACAAUAACAAAACGGAAAAUUAAAAAUAUUUGAGUUGAGCUUUAAUGUGUUUGAGUUGAGAUUCGUUAGUGACAUAUUAACUAAUUGAUUAAUUUAGUUUUGCCCACAGGUAUCCAUUUCAACUCGUUAAACGCAUGUCUCUUUUAAUAAUUGUACAUAACCCCCUUAUCAAACUCAUUCUAACUAACUUUUGGAUAUCGGAAAGGCAAAUAAUUUCCUACAGUACAUGCUUAGAAGAUUAUAGCUGGAUUUUUGGGCCUUGUUGAUUGUUGUUUCAAGCUUCAAUCUCCAAAAAAAAUUCUUAACAUGUUAGGUAACGUUACUAAUUAUUUUUAACAAGUUGGGUUUAAAUUUGAGUUGCAUUACUUGUUAGCUUAAUCAAUUGACACAACAAAAAUCAUUAAAAUAAUAAAUAAACACGAGCACAAAAAAUAUGACUCGUUUCUUAUUUAGAGCCCCACAAUCAGCCCUGAUAGGGAAAUUACUAAACAUGCAAACGGGCUAAAAAUCUCCUAUAAUACUUGCAAGAAUGACAAGGUUAUUGUAGUAUAAACGGAUCUCGCAAGGUCGUUCUCCACAAAGAUUAUUAAAUAAAUUGAAGCAAACCAAUUUCCAAUUAAUUAUUGUAAAGUAGAAAGUUGAGAUGAUUGAUUUAUAACCUACUUAAAUUAAAAACGAAUUUAAUUAAUAAAAGUAAACUAAGCUGCAAUAUUAAAGAUGAAGAAAAAAAGAAACAGUUUUGGAGAAAUAAAAAAAAAAAAACACUAGGGAUCCGCUGUCACCUUAACAAUCCUAUUUAGUUCUCUCAAUUACUUAUAAUAUAUACAUGCAUAUUUCGAAGGUUAGAUUUUCCUAAUAUAUGCCUACUUGGGCCCCUAACAUAGAGCGUAUAUCAAACAUGCAAUUCGUCUGUGGUAUUCAGAUCAAAUUUAAACAUGCAUGACUCAUUAAGUUAUGUGAAACCUUUUGAAAAACCAUGCAACCCUUAUGACGUGGUAUUCAUCCUAAGUGAACUUGCACAUAUUAAAGUAUAAAAUCUCCAAGAACCCUAGCAAUUAUUCUAUGUCUCCAAAGUUGCACAAAAGCAAGUGUAGAGAAAUAUUGUGGACGGCAAAGCAAUAUAUGUUGCUAUCCAUCGCACAAACCCUAAAAACCAAGUCCUUUAUUCCAACUGGGAAACUAAGAUAACUAAAAUAAAAUAAGAAACAUAACCAUAAAUUAAAUGGUAAAAUUCGUCUAAAAUCUAAAGAGCCACGUUAUGGAUCCUUAAGUUGCUCCAAAAGUGGCCCAAUAUAGCUGGAUUUGAUGUUUGAAAUAUUAUGAACACUUCUCCAGAAGGCCAUGAACCCAUCAGAUGUCAUCUCGGGAUCCAAAAAUGCAAUUUAAGCCCUGAAACGUUAUUUUCCAGCACUGCACAUUGCUCCUUUAUUCCAUUGCCAGAAAUAACCGCUUGGUAUAAAAAAUCCCAAAUUUUGAUACAAACACGCCAAGAGACAUACGAACGUCCUCCAACUUGAAUCACUCCAAAAUUCGUCCGUUUGAUCAUGUUUUGCUCCAGAGGAAGUCGGAUGUCCUAUAUUGAAAAUAUAAAUCAAAGUAUUAAAAUUCUACCAAAAUAAUUACCAAAACAUACUAAAAAUAAGGUAAAAUAUACAAUAUGAAAUUGACUCAUCAAGCCCAAUUUCAAAAUACGUCACAUUUCAAACCUACAUCAGUACAUCUUUCAUUUUUUGUGUGUGAUUCGUGUCUUAUAGGUACCGUUUGGUAUGCAGACGGGACGGAAUAAGACGGAACAGAUUAUGUAAAUAUUGAAAAAGAUAAGGAGAAAUUUUGUCAUAAAAUGUUAUAAAUUUGUGUUCCACAGAUGUGGAACGGAUCGUUCCAGGAGGAAGAGGUGGAAUGAAAAAUCAGCCAAAUUUCGUCCCAUGGGACAACCCGUUCCACAGUUUUUAGGCACACCAAACGUGGGACGGAAUGGCUCGUCCCGUCCCGUCCCGCGUACCAAACGGUACUAUAAGGACCGACUCUUUGGUGCUCACGUUUUUUGAGAAAUUUAAAAGGGAUUGAAGGUGAAUAGUCAACUAACGAUUCUUCCAGCUCCAUUAUAUCACUCACCCUCUCCUGACAGUGUUUACGAGUGGCUCAGCGUGGUCAAAACAUUUUCUGAGACAUGUGGACGCAGAGAAAACGUCGAUGAUUCGGUCCGAAUAACUUUCCAAACCGAAACGUUUGGUUGAAACUGAGUAGUUCAGUUCUUGCGGUUCCAAUUCGGUUUGACCGCUUCAACAUUCAACAUGUAUGUUUCCACCGACAAAUUCAUAGCCAAACUAUUGGAAAUCUACAAGAUAGAUUUGACAAUAUUGCAAACAACACGGUAAUAACAUAAAAACUAUACAAUAUGAAAAAUUAUAUAUUUGAGUUGAGCAUUAAUGGAUUCAGGUUGAAACAGGUAGACUCGUUAGUGACAUGUUAAUUAACUAAUUGAUUUAGUGUCAAUCACAUGUAUUAGUUUCAACCAGAGACUGGCUUUUUUAAUAAUUGUACAAACCUCCCUUAUCAAACUCAUUAUGACAAUCCACAUCAAUGACUUUUGGAUACCUUCUUUGAAAUGAAGUUUCAUGCUUCAACAAAUUUCUUAAUAUGUCAGGUUGUAUCACCAAUUAUUUUAACGGUUUGAAUUUGAAUUUGAAUUGUAUUAAUUGUUAACUUAACCGGUGAACGUAAUAUAAACUAUUAAAAUAAGGAAUAACCACAAAUACAAAAAAUAUGAGCCGGUAUCUCAAGGGGCUUAUUUAGUUAUAUGGGCGUAUGACAUCCUUUUUCACACAUCAUCUUUCAAUCAACUUAUAUAGAAACAUGUGAUAUCAUGUGAUAUCAUCCUUUUUACACACAUCAUCAUUCAAUUGCUUAUAUAGAAACAUGUGAUAUCAUCCUUUUUCCACACAUCAUCUUUCAAUCUACUUAUAUGGGCCUAUGGUAUAAAGCUACGACUUUCAUUUUGUGUGUGUAAUUCCUGUCUUAUACUAAGGACCGACUCCUGGUGCUCUUGGGAAACUUCAAAGGGAUUGAAGGAUGUUGGGGGCCUCCGCGUACGAAGAGCGAGUACGAAAACGACUGGUUGAAACUUAGACCUAUGGGCCAAUGGCAUAAAGCUACGUCUUUCAUUUUUUUUUGUGUAACUGUGUCUUUUUAGGAUCUGACUCCUGCCGCGUGUUACGUACCUGUUGGGAGGUACUAUCAGCUUUCGAUGUAGUACUGUAUUAUUUAAUAAUUUCUUCUCCAAAUACUAGAGCAAGGACGAAGAUGACGUAACCGUAGAAGAAAAAAUGGUGUACAAGAAAAAAUGUAAGAGAAAGGAAGAGAGAGAGGUCGAGGAGACUCCCACCGCGUCCCUGUUGGCAGGUACUAUCAGCAAUGUAGUACUGUAUUAUUUAAUAAUUUCUUCUCCAACUACUACAGCAAGGACGAAGAUGACGUAACCGUAGAAGAAAAAAUGGUGUACAAGAAAAAAUGUAAGAGCAAGGAAGAGAGAGGUCGAGGUUUGCAACUUGCGGGUGAGGAAAGAAGUUGCAACGUGUGGGUGAGGAAUUGGUUUGAUAUUUUAUCAUUUUCUUUAUUAAAACUAGAAAAAAGAAUUGAAAUGUCAUAUGAACUUGUGCAUAUUUUUCAAUUUGUCAUAUAAACUAAAAUUUUAAGCAAUUUGUCAUACUAACUUUCUGAAAUUAUCAAUUUGUCAUCUCACCUAACUCCGUUAAGUUUAGCAUAAAAAACAAGUCAUAUGUGAGGCACAUGACUUGUAUUCAAGGUUAUUUCUAUAAUUUAAGAUCUUUUUACAAGUUCUUUAUUUUUCUUUAGUAAAACUCUUAAAAUUUGGGUUCGAGGGUAUUCAUGCGGAUCGUUGUGUUCAAGUAUAUGCAUCUACAUUUCCAUCUCUAGCACCAAACAUCAACUCGUUUCUUAUAUUACAGAGCCCAUAUAAAAUUUGAUUUCAUGAUAUGUUAAACUGAACACUUUAGAAUUGUUUUAAUUGAAUGCAACAUAAUAGAAGGAAGUGAGAUGUUAAAAUGCUAGAAAUAACUCUGAAUACAAGUCAUGUGCGAGACAUAUGACUUAUUUUGGAUGGAAAACUUAACAGAGUUAAGGUGAGAUGACAAAUUAAUGAUUUUGGAAAGUUGGUAUGACAAAUUGCUUAAACUUUUAGUUUAUAUAACAAAUUAGAAAAUGGGUACAAGUUCAUAUGACAUUUUCAAAAAAUUUCCCUUAAAACUCAAAAAGUAAGAGAUUUAACGAAGUUAAACUUAUGUUAAUUCCUACGUAAAUCCAUAGCGUUGGUAGCUGACAGUUAGGUGGCAAUUCCUUCCGACUCGAGGUUGUGAGUCUGCUCUGGCGUUGGUGCCCGAUGAUGAAAGUAACCAAUCUUCAAAAAUUAACAAAAAAAAAAAUUCAGUCAAUAAAGAAAGAAAAUUUAGAACAAUAAUCCAACCCAUCAUUUGCUUCAAUUUGAUUUUUGAAUUCAAACAACUAGAGGUGGGCACGAUCUAAUUCAGUCUGGUCCAUUUUUUAAACCAAAAUCGAAGAACACCAGUUCAGUUAAGUUUAGUUCAAUUUUACUUAAAUAUAUUAAUGAAACUGAGCGGUUUCGGUUUAGUUUGACUGGUUAUUCAUUGUAAAUUGAAUUAUAUAUAAGCUUUUUUAUUAGCAUUCUACGUUAAAAUUUAAUAUUAGAUGACUUAUAUACCCUACAACCAAGCCAAAUGUAGAAGAUGUAUAACACUGAUGCAUGUAAAGAGCAUUGUUAUGUAUCAUUGGUGCAACACAGUAUGUUACACAGCGUAUAAUUUGCCUUUUUGAUUAAUUGAAAACGGGACGAAAAACGGAAGUGCACAAGGAAGGAGGAGAAAAAAGGCAGGGCCAGGCGGGGUUGGGUGGGGUGUGAGAAUAUUAAGGGAAAGUGUGGCUAUAUUAUGAUAAAUUUUAAUUGUAAAAGCAAUUGUGUGAUGUACCGUGUACUUAACAAUAUGUAUGAUGUUAAUAUAACAAGCUUUAUAUAUACUGACCUUUUUGCACGUACUUAUGCACUUACCAAUUACUUUUUUACAUCACGACACGUUACGCACGGCUUACGAAUUUCUCUUUUCUUUUGUACAUUUGGUCACUCAUAAAGACAUUCUUAUAAUUAUUUUUAAUUUAUAACCUACAUUAUGAAAGGUAUCAAAUUAAUAAACCAAGAAUUCAAGAAUGUCCUUAUGCGUGAAGUCAAACAUUAACUGGAGAUACAGAAGCAAAUCAAAUUAAUUUAUAUAGAUCACAAAUGCUAUUCAUUAUGUAAAAUUAAAUUAUUGCUUCUAUCAUUUGUGUUCAUUCUUGAUUUGUUGAUAUCCACUUUAAAUUUUCUUCGUAUUCCUACAUAAACAAAAAAUAAAUAAAGAACACAAUAAUUUUUUUGAAAAAAAGAAAAGAUAACAUGAGGAAACAAUAUAUGCAAUAACAGCAACUUGCAUAUUAAUAUCAGUGCAGAGAAGAGCUAUAUAUUCUUCUGUACCAAGAGGAGCAAUUUAAAAGACAAAAAUUCUCUAACCUAAGUCAUGGAGGCGAAGCAUCCAUAUGAGAAACGACAGACCACCAUCAAAUUAUCAAAAUCCAGUCAAACAUAAAUGAAAAAAAGACACCAGUAAAAUAGAAAACAGAAACGAACUCCAUCGUCAAAAUUAAAUCGUGCUUUGCAUCGCCUCCUCAUCCACGGGAACAACACAUAGAACCCUCGCACUUGAAUUUCCAGAAGGCAUAUGAAUUUAAAGAUGCCUUUGCAUCGCUUCCUCAUCCACGGGAACAGCACAUAGAACCCUCGCACUGGAAUUUCCAGAAGACAUCCUCAAUGAAUUUUAACACGUCAUGCAGAUUAGACUCCAUUUGAAGGAGUUGCCGAGUUUUUUUCCUGAAAAACAGACGAAAUCGAAGAACAAAUGAGUCCAACUCUACAAAGUCCAUGCAAUGCACCACAUGAUAAGAUCAAAUCCACUACCUGUUUUCUUCACGUGAACUACUCUGAUUACUCACAGCACCAUCAGUAGACUGCCCGUUUUGCUGCGGCUCCGGCACUUUCUUUCUACCAAACUUGGCAUCCUACAAAUACAAAUAAUUUUAUCAGUAGAGAAAACAGAAGCAAACACUCUGUACCGCAAAGCAAAACGGAAGCUUAUACCCAGAUUAAUUUCAUUUGAGCACCUGGGAUAGGGAGGGAGAGAGGGAGAGGAAUCACCGCAAAUCUCAAAGCAAAAAAUUGAAAAAAGAAGAAUCGAUGACUUGGACGUUGGUUUCUACCCCUUUUAUCCCACGUUGGAGUGUUGGAGUGUCGGAGUCUACAAAACCGAACAUUAUCCCACGUACGAGUGUGGUAGUCUGCAAAACCGAAGGGUAACGGCUGAAUGUAGUUGCAAAACUGAACGUGGUGAUCGAUCCUUUCUCCCACGUUAUCCUUUUUUUAUUCUUCUUUUGUAAAAACCUUUCCACUCUUACGCUUGAGUUUAUUGUUCUAACUGUACGUUUUUUAAAUUGUUUGUUUUUUAUUUUUUAUUUUUUAUUUUUGUUUAAGGGGCUUGAGACACCAAAGUACUCUUCUAGCAUUCUAUUGUAGGGAUAUAUUUUUAGGCAAACUAAUGAAAAUGACUUGAAAACUUUGAGUUUUAAUGAUAAAGACAAAAUAAAAGGUAAAGUGAAUAGUACUAGGAUUGACUUUUUAGUGUAAAAAUAUGUUUUUUUUUGUUAAAGAAUACAGUAUCGUGAGCUUUUCGUUAAAACUCUUUAUAUUUUUCCUUUGAGUCCUGCUUCAACAUCCAACAGUAUGUUUCCACCGAUAAAUUCUUACAAAUUUGAGCCAAACUACUAGAAGUCUAUGAAAGUCUACAAGGUAAAAACAUAAACUUGCAAGAUUUGUGAGACUAGCAGAGAAGAAAAGAAAGGGCGAAGAAGGAAAGAGAGAGAAGAAAUGGUAUAGAAGAAAAGAGAGACUAGCUCUAAAGGGAGAGAUUUUUCAGUGUGAUGGGAACAUGAGGUGGUACACCACGUGUCAUUAUACAAAUGGUGGGAUAUGUGUGUUAAAAAGUUGUGUCAUUAUACAAAUGAUGAGAUAUGUGUGUUAAAAAAUUAAUAACUUAAAAAAUACAAUUUUCCAUCACCUGUAUAAAAAUACGUGGUGUACCAUUCGUAUUCCGGUCACAAGAAAAAGUUUUUCAUCUAAAGGCGGAGAGACAAAAUGUGAGACUUUGUUGGUGGCCAGACUUCAUAAAGAAAAGGAAGAGGAAGAGACAUAUCGUCACUAGGGUUUAGUUAGGUUAUGGGCCUUUGGACCUUCGAUUUAGUUAAAUUUGGUAGGCCUUGCGAGAGAUUAGUAUUAGAAGGGUUGUGUUUAUUGAAUAUAUUUUAAAGGGCAAAAGACUGUUUACUAUCCUCAUGUUUCGUGGGUUUCAACAUUUAGUACAUUAAUUUUUUUUCGUCACAGAGUCAUACCUAAAGUGUAAAUUUUGGGAUAGUCUCAUACAUCCGUUAGUCAAACUGUUAAGUCUGCCAUUAACUGUGAUGUGGCGCCCAUGUGGCCAAUGACUGGGCGCCACGUGUCAUCCACGUGGAAAUUUAAAAAAAAAAUUAUAAAAUAAUAUAUAUAUAUAUAUUAUAAAAUUAAAAAAAAAACCAAAUCUGCCGAAGAAGGAGAAAGAAGAAGGAAGAAGAAGAAGAAGAAGGAGAAGGAAGGAGGAACAAGAAAAAAAUAAGGAAAAAAACUGGGCAGAUUCGAUGAAGAAGAAGGAAGGAGAAGAAGGAAGGAGGAAGAAGAAAAAAAAAAAACUGGCCAGAUUCGAAGAAGAAGAAGAAUGAGGAAGCAGAAGGAAGAAGAAGAAGAAGGGGUAGGAAGGAGGAAGAAGAAAAAAAAAACUGGGCAGAUUCGAAGAAGAAGAAGAAGAAGAAGAAGGAGAAGGAAGAAGGAGGAAGAAGAAGAAAAAAAAAAUUGGGUAGAUUCGAAGAAGAAGAAGAAGAAGAAGAAGAAGAAGAAGAUUCGAAGAAGAUUCGAAGAAGAAGAAGAAGAAGAAGAUUCGAAGAAGAAGAAGAAGAAGAAGAAGAAGAAGAAGAAGAAGAAGAAGAAGAAGAAGAAGAAGAAGAAGAAGAAGAAGAAGAAGAAGAAGGAGGAAGAAGAAGGAAGAAAAAGAAAGAGGAAGAAGAAAAAAAAAUGGGCAGAUUCGGAAGAAGGAGAAGGAAGAAGGAAGAAGAAGAAGGAGAAGGAAGGAGGAAGAAGAAAGAAAGAAAGAAAAAAAAAAUGAAUCUGCUACCCAGAUUCAAAGGAAGAAGAAGGAAGAAGAAGAAGAAGGAAAAGGAAGGAGGAAGAAGAAAAAAAAAAACGUUUUUUUUUAAAUUUAUUUAUUUAUUAUUUUAUAAUAUAUAUAUAUUUUUUUUUUUUAAAUUUCCACGUGGAUGACACGUGGUGCCCAGUCAUUGUCCACAUGGGCGCCACGUCACUGUUAACGGCAGACUUAACAGUUUGACUAACGGAUGUAUGAGACUGUUCCAAAAUUUACACUUUAGGUAUGACUCUAGGAUGAAAAAAACUUGAUGUACUAAAUGUUGAAAAUCACGAAACAUAAGGGUAGUAAACAGUCUUUUGCCCUAUUUUAAAACAUAAGAAUUAAAUUCUCACCCUCUUUUUUUAAUGUAGAUACUAUCUUUUGUUAAAAAAAACAUAAAAAUUAAAUUACUAUUAACCGGUUCAGUUCGGUCAUGCUAGUUUUUUCAAGUUGAGAACUUGAAUUUAAACCAGUCUGAAUCGGCUCAAUUCAAUUCUUGUAAAAAGUUAAUUUAUUUUUGUCAACAAACACAAAUUUUCUUUUUUCGAUUUUUUUUUUUUGUCAUGGCUCAAUUCAGUUUCUCGUUCUAUAGUUCUCAUGCUCACCCCUAAAAACUAAAGGUGUCAAAUGGUCUAACACCUAAUGGUGUCAUAUGGGCCUAAGCCGUUCUUGGCCCUGCCACUAAACAAGUGGCUCAACGAACUUUAGUUAUUUUAUAUUAGUAGAAAAAAUUAUUUGAAUCUAGUUUAAAACCUAAUAUCACAAUUAUUUAGUCUUAUUAGCUCCAACUGUAUGUUUUACUUGAAAAAUAAUGAAUAAGUAUAUUAUUAUUUAAUUAUGUAUUAGUUUAAAUAGGAUAGUCAUCAUAAUGGCCCCACGUCAUGGGCCGUGUUUGGCCAUGAUGAAUCGCGGCCAACCCGGCCUAUUGGACCUAAACCUUAGGACCGACCUAACCACUCAUUACUAAUCAUGUCGUGCACUGCCUUAUCUAAAUGAGCUUGGGUCAUGCCUAUUUUAAUAAGGCACGACCAUUGACAUAGUUCAUUGUUGCGGUUUCCCUUUCCGUUCUUACUAUCUCACAAACAUACUAUUUCAUUCACCGCACGUAAUUUUCCGUUUUACAAUGGGAAAUGGGGGUUGCAGUUGUGUGUGGAGGAUUUCUAUUGGGGUCUUAUGAGUUUAAUUAGUCAUUUAUGAUUUAUGAGUGUUAAAGUUUCCUCAUGUAUAAUGAGUUUGUUUUAUCUUCCUGCUUUCUCAACUUAUAUGUGAUUGUAUGGGAGACAAAAAUGGAUCUUGUAAAGAAGUCGUUGAUGUCCUCAGAAAAUGGAUGCAUUGGUGGUAAUUACCUAUGUUCUAACUUCUAAUCAUAUUGGUCCUUCAACCAGCAACUGCCAAUAGUUAUACUAAACUAAGACUUCGAAGCCACUUAGUACUACAGUCUAGUGAUAUUUUUAUUCACUUAUAAGUGAGAGGUCUUAGGUUCGAUUCUCGCCAAAUGCGAAUUUGAAUAACAUUAUUGUUAGUCCAUUGUGAGGCUAAGCUCACCCCUCCCUUUUAGUGUAGAUAAUAUUGUUUGUUCAAAAAAAAAAAAGACUUUGAAAUAGGGUGGUGCUAACCACACACCUCUUUUUAUCUUUUACACACCCUUUCAAUUUUCGAUUGUCGGAUCAAAUGAAUUGAUGAGAAUUAAGGGACAAAAAUUAAUGGAAGGUAACAACCAUUAGAUUAUGUCUACAACUACAUAUAUAACAUAGUUAUCGUUUUACAUUUUGUUUGGACCCGAUUUUACACCAUCGGCCCAAGUAAUCGAGGCCGUUGAGUGAGCAUGGUUCUUAACCAUCAGAUGAGAAAGUUAAGAUAAUUUGCUAUUGUUAAGAGAUAAUAUUAUGGUUUUUAAUCAUAAUAUUUAUCUUUCAAUGAAUUAUCUCAAUUUUCUUGUACAAAAUAAAUGGGAUAAAAAUCAUAGCCCUAAUGAAGAGACAGGUGGAACAGUCCGAUUUAAUUUGGAAUUGUUAGUAGUGUACCGUGUGGGUUAGAGCAACUCGGCUUGGAUUCUUAUCACGUGGCAUAGCAUGGGAUUUGCAAGGCUUGGAUAAUGGUGAGAUAGGAGACCUAAGUAAGCUGGGUUAUUUAUAGAUGUUGGCAGAUGAAUUGAAUUGAUGAUGGACUUGGCCUGCGUGCCGUGUGAAAGGCUACCAACUAUAUAAUUAUAUAUAUAUAUAUAUAUAUAUAUAUUAUUGGUGGUUGCCGUAUGGUUUGGAUAUGACAAGAAAAGAAAGCCUAGCUAGGCUAAGCUAGGCUUUUAAUUACGAUGGGAUAAUUCAAGAUGAGCUUUUAUUAUCUUUGAGGAAUCAGCCAUCUGAAGAUAGGCGUUAGCACCUAUGUCGCAGAUCAGUCAUUUUUACGAGUUUGAGUUUCAGUCGGUUUCUGCUUAUUAUCCAGGCCAUGCCAAACAGAAAAUACGUUCCUAUAAAUACAGAUGCCGUGCAACGGAAAUGGACCUCUCUAAUUCAACACACAAAUUGCCAUGCGCAAGCUUUCGCUCUACGCGAAACCUCUCAACAACCUUGAGAUUUUUAUUUUCUUUUUCACCGACACAUCUUCAGUUUGGAUAAACAGCAUUGUGAAGGCAACCGACGAACAUUUUCAGUUUGGAUAAACAGCAUUGUUGCCGUAGAACCGGCCGACUGCGGAACACCUUAAGUUUGGAUAAACAGCACUAUGUCUAGGUCGACUGGUUAUCUAUCAAAGUCUCAGUCGAAAAAGACUUUCGGGUCCUUAUUGGUAGAGGUCAUCUCAUUAGCCUUUUCCGCAAGGUGAAGUGUUACAGUUUACUAGGGCUCGGCACAUUGAACGCCGAGUUGUUUUAUGAUUGGAUACUCACAAGUAGGUUUUAGAGUUCGGCAUUUUGACGGCCGAACCACGUUCACCAUCAAGACAUAUAUUUAUUUUGAGUAUCUGUGCCCCUAUACUUUGGUGUCGAUUCGGCGUGCUUAUACUCUUACGAAUAUAAUCACUAUGACCGAAUUCGGCGUCGACGAUUUGUGAACUUUGCAAAACUAGUAGCCUUGUCUUUAGGCUCUAGAACCCGAAGACCGAGAGUGUUUCUUCCUCGGCCGCAAUCGCAAGAUCGAGAAGUCAGUAGCGCACCCAAUGCAACAUCAACAUAUUUUCCUCCUCGGCCGACGAGUUGGCACGCCCUGCAUCAACCGAAGGACGUAGUUAGCUCACUAGUUACUCGGUAUGCGCGCCACGUAGGCUUGGUAGUUUUUAGGGUCAACACAUUUGUACACCUUAAUCCAAAAGACCGGAAUUACAAAUGUUUUGACAAGUAGAUAACAACCUUCCUGCCCUUGGAACUUAUUCAAUCUAAAACACCAAUUCAAUUUUAGUUUGAGUAAAAGAUGUUGGGAAAAUUACAAGAAGAUUGACUCGCUCUUUGCUUUGUUAUUCUGUACUAAAUGAUCCUGCCUAAUUCACUAAUUCGGGUUAUAAUAAAAUUAUAUUCUUCUAAAAAGCAUGUAGACAAGUAGGUUGAAACACAAGUAUAUUGCUCUCCUUAAGGAGAUUAAAGUUCACUGUGGUUUACAAAGUCCACAAAUAGAUGCAGGAGUAUAUCCCAUGACUUGUUCCCUCCAGAAUACAAUAGCCCAACAAAAUUGUUUUGUGAUUGAAAUCUAUCUGCACAAAAGGAAGAGUCCAAAGCUCCACCACACAAACUCUUCUUUGGUCAGUAUGUAAAAACAGAAAAGAUGGAGGAAUGGAGAGAUAAUUGUUGCAGAAGAAAUUAGGUAGUGGGAUAAAAAUAAAAGAAAACAAAGGAUGAUGGAGAAAAUGCUACUAAUUAUAGAUUUAUUAUCACCUUUAGUGGAUAAGGUAAUAUACACAAAUUAACAAGACAAAAGUUAUAAGAGUUACAUAAGAUGAACUGCUCAAAGACGUCGUCUUAGUUUUCCCACUAACAACAAAUAAUGAUAACCGUCUUAAAUUCUCACUUACAACAAACUAGUCCUUCUGCACACACCUUGCGCGUGCGAAAAACCUUUUUUACAUCAUGGCGUGCUACACGUGACAUACAAAGUUUUUAUCCCUUCCACAUUUGUGCAUGCAUAAAAAAAUGUUUGCUUCAUAAACACUUCAUACAUGUUCUACAUGCAUUGGUCACAGAUGAUCCUAAAAUGGUAUUUAUUCAAAACCCUUUCAUCACUUCUCAUCCAAUCCCCACCCACAAGGUAACUCCCAAUUAUUCCUUUCAAUUGGGGUUAAUUACCAAAUUAAUUGAUUAAUUGCCAAAUUGAAUGCAAGAUAUUAUUUGACAUAGUAUCUUGCAAUUAUAUUGAAAAACCACCAUAAGUGGCCGGUUCCUAUUUCUCCAAAUAGGGUCAGCCACACCCCUAUAUAUAGCCCCACAUAUCUCCAAAAACCCAAGUUCAUUCUCUCCCAAAAAUUCCUCAAACACUUUUUUCUUUCAAAUUAUAACUUUGGCAUUGGAGAUUCCUAAGCUAAAUCCCUCCCCAUUCAUCAUGGGCGCGUUAGACUUUUGACCUUAAUCUUAUGUAUUAUUAUUUUGCAGGUGCAUUUUCAUUAAAGAAUAAUAAGACGGUAAUUUGCAUCCACAACUGACAUUUGGAUACCUUCUUUGAAAUAAAGUUUCAUACUUCAACAAAUUUCUUAAUGUGUUAAAUUGUAUCACCAAUUAUUUUAACGGUUCGAUGUUGAGUUUGAAUUGUAUUAAUUGUGAGCUUAACAUGUGGAUGCAAUACAAACCAUUAAAAUAAGAAACAAACACAAAUACAAAAAAAUAUGAGCCGUUUCUCAAGGGGCUUAUUGAGUUAUAUGGGCCAUGUGAUAACAUGUGAAAUCAUCCUUUUUCCACACAUCAUUUUCAAUCGACUUAUAUGGGCCAAUGGCAUGAAGCAACGUCUUUCCUUUUUUGUGUGGUUCGUCUUAUAUGGAAACACAAUUCGUCUUAUAAGGACCGACACCUGGUGCUCUUGGGAAACGUAAAAAGGAUUGAAGAAGACCAAUCAAUUUAACGUUAUUUACGAGUGGAUCAGAGAAUUCGCUAUUGACGAUGGACGGUUUGGAGAUUCUGCCACACAUGAUGAUAGCCUCAACGUUGUCGUCUUUGUCGGGCAUGGGGGCCUCCGAAGAGUGAGGACAUAAACGACAAGUUGAAACUGAUACCUGUGGGCCUAUAUGGCGUAAAGCUAUGUCUUUCAUUUUUCUUUUGCGUGUAAUGUUGUCCUUACGAAAAAAAAUUCAUUAUGAUUAGAAUAGAAGUGAUAUAUCAUGUAUUUUUAUAUAAAUGGUUAGAAAUUUUAUUUUUUAAGUUAUUAAUUUUUUAGUACAUAUAUUCUACCAUUUAUAUAGUAACACGUGAUAUAUCAUCUCGUGUUCUCAUCAUAUUAAAAAAUCUCUCCUCUCCCUGCUCCAUUAUAUCACUCAUGUUCUCCUGGCAUUGUUUACUAGUGGCUCUCAACGUGGCCAAAUAUUACAAGUGGCUCAGAGAAUUCGCUAUUGGAGAUGACGAAGGGUAAGGAGAUUUUGCCACACAUGACGAUAGCCUCAACGUUGUCGUCUUUGUCGACCAUGGGGAGAAAUUAUUAGAUGGUAUAGUAGCAUCAUUGGCAAUGACUGGAUGAGAAAUUAUUAGAUGGUACAAUACUGUCACGUGGCAAUGAUAGUUGGCAGUACCCACCAACAGGUGCAUGACACGGAGAGCUAACAGGACAAAAAUAAAAACAAUAUUUGGCUACUCAAAGAUGAGUAGGAACUCCUACUCAAAAUUUCUCAAAAUUGUUUGUUGUCAAUUUAUAGAACUUCGUGUUUAUAAUCAAAACCGUUCAUAUUAUAAAUAAAGAUCACCUUUGCAAAAAAUCAAUUAAAAUUAAGGUCGUUUAGACAUCAAAUUGUUUAAAAACAAAUGAAUGGUAUUGGUAAAAGUAUUACGAAUCGUCUAUGUAUUUGCUACAAUAGAUUGAUUAAACGACCUUAGUUUUAUUUUUCUAUUUUUUUUAUUUUUUUGCAGAGAUGAUAUAUACAGUGUAAUUCAUAGUAUGAAUCGUUCUGUUCAUAAGUACAAAAUUUUGUGAUUAAAAUACUAAGAGUUUUGAGUAGGAGUUCCUACUUAUCUUUGAGUAGCCAAGUAUUGUUCUUUUUAAAAACCUUUCCACUUUUACGCUUGAGUUUAUUGUUCUAACUGUACGUUUUUUAAAAUUUUUAUUUUUUAUUUUUGUUUAAGGGGCUUGAGACACCAAAGUAAUCUUCUGGCAUUCUAUUGUAGAGAUAUAUUUUUCCUCCUAGUUCUGCUUCAACAUCUAACAGUAUGUUUCCAUCGACAAAUUCUUACAAAUUUGAGCCAAACUACUGGAAGUCUACAAGGUAAAAACAUAAACCUGCAAGAUUUGUGAGACUAGUAGAGAAGAAAAGAGAGGGCGAAGUAGGAAAGAAAGAAGAAAUGGUAGAGAAGAAAAGAGAGACUGGCUCAUAAGGGGGAGAGACAAAAUGUGAGACUGGUUUGGUAGCCAGAAUGCAUAAAGAAAAGGAAGAGGAAGAGACAUAUAGUCACUUGGGUUUAGUUAGGUUAUGGGCCUUUAGACCUUCGAUUUAGUUAAAUUUGGUCGGCCUUGCGAGAGAUUAGUAUUAGAUGAGCUAUGUUUAUUGAAUAUUUAAAAACAUUAAAAUUAAAUUAUCAUCCUCUUCUCUUAAUGUAGAUAACAUCGUUUAUUUAAAAGAAAAAAUAAAAAUUAAAUUAAUAUUAGCCGGUUCAGUUCGAUCGUAAUCAAAACUAGUUUGAACCAGCUCAAUUCAAUUCUUGUCAAAAGUUGAACUUUUUUUUUAUUUUAUUUUUGUCAUCAACAAACACAAAUUUUUUUCUUUUCGAUAUUUUGUUUUGUCAUGGUUCAAUUCGCUUUCUCGGUUCUAUGUUUCUCAUGCCCACCCUUAAAAACUAAAGGUGUCAAACGGUCUAACACCUAAAAGGUGUCAUAUGGGCCUAAGCCGUUCUUGGGCAGUGCCACUAAACAAGCGGUUCAACAAAGUUUAGUUAUUUUAUAUUAUCAGAAAAAAUUAUUUGAAUCUAGUUUAAAGCCUAAUAUCACAAUUAUUUAGUUUUAUUAGCUCCAAACUGUAUGUUUUACUUGAAAAAUAAUGAAUAAAUAUAUUAAUAUUUAAUUAUGUAUUAGUUUUAAUGGGAUAGUCAUCAUAAGGGCCCCACGUCAUGGGCCGUGCUUGGCCACGAUGAAUUGCUGCCUGGCCAGCCUAUUGGACCUAAACCUUUGGACCGAUAUGGCCACUCAUUGCUAAUCGUGCCGUGCAGUACCUUAUUUAAAUGAGCUUGAGUCGUGCCUAUUUUAAUAAGGCACAGCCAUUGACAUCGUUCAUUGUUGCAGUUUCCCCUUUCGUUCUUACUAUCCCACAAACAUAGUAUUUCAUUCACCAUCCAUAAUUUUCCGUUUUACAAUGGGAAGGGGGGGGGGUUGCAGUUGUGUGUGGGGGAUUUCCAUUGGGAUCCUAUGAGUUUAAUUAGUCAUUUAUGAUUUAUGAGUGUUAAAGUUUCCUCCUGUAUAAUGAGUCUGUAAUGUCUUCCUGAUUUCUCAACUUAUAUGUGAUUGUAUGGGAGACAAAAAUGGAUCUUGUAAAUAAGUCGUUGAUGUCCUCAGAAAAUGGAUGCUUUGGUGGUAAUUACUUGUGUUCUAACUUCUAAUCAUAUUGAUCCUUUAACCAACAACUGCCAAUAGUUAUGCUAAAAUAUGACUUCGUAAUCACUUAGUACUACGGUCUAAUGAUAUUUUUAUUCACUUAUGAGUGAGAGGUCAUAGGUUCGAUUCUCGUCAAAUGCGAAUUUGAACCACAUUAUUGCUAGUCCAUUGUGAGGCUAAAUUCACACCUCCCUUUUAGUGUAGAUAAUAUUGUUUGUUAAAAAAAAAAAAAAAGACUUUGAAAUAGAAAUAGGGUGGUGUUAACCACACAUCUCUUUUUAUUUUUUACAUACCCUCUCACUUUUCGACCGUCGGAUCAAAUGAAUUGAUGAGGAUUAAGGGAUAAAAAUUAAUGGAAGGUAACAGCCAUUAGAUUAUGUCUACAACUACAUAUAUAACGCAGUUAUCGUUUUACAUUUGAAACUAGAGAAAUAGAACACCUUGAUCCAAAAGACCGGAAUUACAAAUGCUUUGACAAUUAGAAUAACAGCUUUCCUGCCCUUGGAACUUAUUCAACCUAAAACACCAAUUCAAUUUUAGUUCGAAUAAAAAAUGUUGGGAAAUUACAAGAAAAUUGACUCACUCUUUGCUUUGUUAUUAUGUACAAAAUGAUCCUGUCUAAUUCACUAAUUCGGGUAAUAAUAAAAUUAUAUUCUUCUAAAAAGCAUGUAGAUAAUUAGUCUGAAACGAAAUAUAUCGCUCUCCUUAAAGAGAUUAAAGUUCAUUGUGAUUUAACAAAGUCCACGAACAGAUGCAGCAGUAUAUUCCAUGACUUGUUCCCUCAAGAAUACAAUAGCCCAACAAAAUUAUUUUGUGACUCAAACCUAUCUGCACAAAAGGAAGAGUCCAAAGCUACACCACACAAACACUCUUCUUUGGUCAGUAUGUAAAAAUAGAAAAGAUGGAGGAAUGGAGAGAAUAAUUGUUGUAGAAGAAAUUAGGUAGUGGGAUAAAAAUAAAAGAAAACAAAGGAUGAUGGAGAAAAUGCUACUAAUUAUAGAUUUAUUAUCACCCUUAGUGGGUAAGGUAAUAUACACAAUGAACAAGGCAAAAGUUAUAAGAGUUACAUCAGAUGAAAGACUCCAUCUUAGUUUUCCCACUAACAACAAAUAAUGACAGCCAUCUUAACUUCUCACUUACAAUAAAUUAGCCUUUCUGCAUGCGCCUUGUGUGUGCGAAAAGCCUUUUUUACAUCAUGACGUGCUACACGUGGCAUACAAAGUUUUUAUCCCUUCCAUAUUUGUGCAUGCAUAAAAACAUCUUUGCUUUAGAAACACUUCAUACAUGUUCUACAUGAUUGAUUUUAUAAUUUUCCAUAUUAAGGGAGUGAUAAAACUAAUUUUGAUUGGCCUAUCAACUCUCCUUCAACUUUUCCAGAGGUUGUUGCCAAUAAGAAAUUUGUGUACCUCACGGCAGCAGAGUUGAUAGGGGCCUCUUUAGCAGCCUAUAAACUCCAUUUAUGCAUGGCUUUUAUAUUCUAGACAAUACAAAAUGUAACUUAGCAGAAUAUAAAAUAGUAAUUUUCUGCGAACAUUUGCCGAAGUAUCUAAGACAGUUGGAACUUUUGGCUGCCACAUCCGUUAGGUAUCAAAAUGAAUAGUUGAUUCUGUAAAACUAUACAAUCCCUCACGCAGAGUAAGGGAACAUUAUAAAUUGUCAAAAGAAUAUACAGAGUUUUUAUAUGUGAAAUAAGUGAAGAGACAAAGGAAUCAUGCAUACUCCAAUGAAAAUAAAAUUCACUGAAUCUAAAUAACUAAUGUUGCCAAUGUACCAUACAAAUUAGUAAGCAAGUCAAGAAACUACCAAUGAGAAUAAAAUGAUUCCACUUUUAUCUUCCAACUUUCUGAAAACCUAUAAAAUAGAAGAUAAAUUUUCAAAAUUGUUAGGAAUACAAACUCCCAAACCUGUACAUGCUGAUUGAACCAACUCACUCAAACAUAUCGAAUUUGGAUCCUGAUUUCUUCCUUUUGCCUCUACAAUUUUCUCACCACAUUUUAUAUUCUUUCUAAUUCCUUGUGCCAAAGAAUUCUUCCUGCAACACAUUUGUUUCUGGUUUCAAAAAGACGAAUUAACAUAAUCAAACCACAUCUCUUGGUGUUCAUGCUUCAAAGGUGCAUGUGCAAUAGAAUAGCAUUAGAAAUAAGUGAAGAGACAUAGGUAGAUUACCUAUAGUCGGACAAACAAACGUAAAGAAAUCCAAAAACGAUCACCCAAAACCUGCACUAACCGAAAUAGAAUCGAAAUUAAAACUAUGAUUAUGAUUCGAUAGAGAACUGAGGAAUAGCCAAGCUAGGAAUACCAUAAGUGCUCGACAGAUAGUCGAAUUGAUGAAAACACAAACGAACAACAUCAGUAACGAAUCAUGGUAUUCUUUCGACUACCAGAUCAAAGGGACAGAAAACCACUCCUGUGUGAGAAGUGCCUGAAGGGAUAAGCAAUAAUAUAAGCAAGGGACAAUGGUUAAGUAAACCAAACUUGAGCAAAACUAAAGGAUGGUUAAGUAAACCAAACUAAAGCAAAACUAAAACUCACAUAAAAACCUUUGGGUAUCAGUGGAGAAGAGAUUGCUUUCGAAUUUCACAAUGAAGCAAUCGAUUUUAUUUCUCCGCUUCCACGAAACAGUUUUCUCACACGUUCUCAUUUUCCCUCCUUCGUUUACACGUCUACACAGCGAGGUUUAUCAUGUUUGUAGAUUAAACUUCUACAAAAGAGAGUCCUUAUGUGUAUGUAUAAUUAAGAAGAAAUGAGAGUUGCAAUACCAGGAUGUGCUCCAUGUAGAUUGCAGAAUGUAACCAUGAACAUCGUGAAAAAGUAGGCGAAGCACAUAUGGGAAGAGGCCAUGAUGUUUUUUUAGUCAAAAAAAGGAAGAACCUGCACAACAAAGUUGAAUUCUCAAGAAAACUGAACAAAGUAGAAUAAAAACAAUCUAUCGGUCUUAAAUCGUGACCGACUGAAAAAUAGAAGAGGAAAGAUCAGCUUCACAAUGCACAAUUUUUGUUUUUGCUGGAGUCUAGUAACUGUUGGCAGCGUCGUAGAAUGAAAUUGAAAACAAAAAUUUACUCAAACCAUUCGAAGUAGCAGGAACAAUGAAGCUUCUUCCCUCCUUCUCUAAUGUUGGAUUUGUGAAUUAUUGAAUGUGGAUUUGUGAGUUCUUAGAGUUUAUUCAUCUUCUCAGUCAGUUUGCGGCAGUUUACUCCCGGUUGAGUUGAUAUCUGAUGACAAUCAAGCUGAAACCAAGAUCAAAAUAUGGGGAUUUAAUCUAAGCGCUUCAAACCUAUAAAGGGCAGGGAUUGAGUUCGAAAAAGGGGAAGACAAUUUAUUGAACAUAACUUUCAGUAAUGGCAAACUCAGAAUUCCACCAGUGUAUAUUCACUUGACUUCGGAUUCACUCUUCAGGAACCUUGAGACUUAUGAGCAAUGCAGUCUUAGAAGUAAGCAUCCCAUUACCUCAUAUUUGAUACUCAUGAAGAGUCUCAUCACUUCCACAUGGGAUAUAAGACUUCUUUGGAGAAGAGGGAUCAUAAAUCUAUUAAAUUGCAAUCGCAAUCGCGUUGGGGACCAAGAAUAUUUCGCUGAAUUCAAAACUAUACUGAAUACAGUUGUUGUGAAGAACUUGUGCUUCGGAAAGUUGUGUGACGAAGUGAAUGCAUACAGUAAGUCCUGGUUGCCCUUGAGCAAACAUAAGGUAUCGACAAGGGUGCAAAUUCGUAGACAUGCAAAUUUCCUUUGUCGCACUUAUUUUUCUAGGCCAUGGAGUAUCAUAUCAUUCGUUGCUGCUGCUGCUCUCUUUAUUCUUACUGUCAUCCAGAGUCCAGACAUACUAUAGCAUUCACCCACGCUAAUGUGUACUUGUUCCGAGUGCAGUAGGAAUGAAAGGCUUCGAUUUUAUGCCUCCGCUGAGUUCCUUAAUCGUUUAUGUAAUGAAAAUUUCAUUGUGUGCUAAGCUGAAAUGGUUUAUUUGGUUUAAUUGGUUGUUCCGUUUUUCUUCAAAUUGCAUGAAAAUGAGCUUAGAUUCUAUAAAUUUUGAACGUUAAUUCUUUAAAGGAAAAUUACCUUUAUGGAUUUCUUUUCUCCUUAAAAGCAUAACCAACCAUAGCGUGGGACGCUUUAUUACAAGUUCUUGGAAUGAACUUAAAAAUAAUUUUUAUAAAUUGGGAAGCCAGCAUAUGAAUGUCGUGAAUUAUACAUUCCACCGACACCUCUGAAAUCUCCCCGCUGUUAAUGAUGUCCACCACAGUUUUUGUAUGUCUCCACUUCAAUCCGCAAGAAGCCCCUUGUUAGGAUAUAGACAUGUGUCAUAAUUGUAUUGGAGGAUCUUAGAGUUGGUUAUAGGUGUGUUGUACUUACAAGACAAGAGGGUCACAAUUGUAAGGUAAUGAAAAACUGAAAAUUUCCCUCCUCUUUCUCUCUCUAAGUUUGUUCUCUCUCUUCGAUGCUUUUCUCUUCCGUUGUUUCACUGCAUUACAUACAGUAGCUUUGUUAUCAUGGUAUCAUCGCAGGCAAUGGUUGACGCCGUCGUCUGACGAUCCUGAUGCUUCGGCUUUUCUUCGUUCCGGUAGCAUUCCAUUGUUUGCUAGAAGUCGGUUGUUCUCUGGUCGAAGUUGGUUGACUACUCAAACCUUAGAAUUUGAGGAUUCUUGGGUGAAGUUGCAGCUCAUCGUGUUGGUUGAAGGUAUUUGUUGCGUUCUUUGAUCCCUUGCUUCUGAUAGCUAUUCUUACUGUGAAUCUUGCUGCGAAUUGAAGUGUUGAUUGGUUGUUACUAGUUGUCAAUUGUUGAUUUCUUAAGGAUUGUUGGUGUAUCUGUUGAUUUCUUGAAGAUUGUUGAUGUGUUUGUCUUACUGGUCAAUUCUUGUACUUGUUAUGGACGAAAUCAUUCGUUUUUGUCUGCGAUUCUUGAUUUCUUACAAUACAAGCAAAGAGUGUUUCUUGGUGCUUCCAUAUGGUGACUGCUGCACAAUUAGUUCUCACUCAAUCGCCUAUCUCUUCCUUGAUACCAAGUGUUGGUAAUACUGUGACAGUAAAGUUAGAUGAUUCUAAAUAUGUUACUUGGAACUUUCAAAUUGAAUUACUAUUAGAGGGCAAUGGUAUUAUGGGGUUUCUUGAUGAUUUUAUUCUGUGUCCUGCGAAACAUACUGCAAUUGAAACUACUGAUGGUACUGUGAUUGAUAAAUCUUCUGUAACUGAUGCAUACAAAGUUUGGAAAAUUCAUGAUAAAGCCUUAAUGACCCUUAUCACUGCAACUUUGUCUCCUGCUGCAUUAUCUUGUGUCAUUGGGUGUCAAAGUUCCAAGGAAAUGUGGAUUAAUUUGAAAGAGAGAUUCUCUAGUAGGACCUGUUCAAACAUUGUCCAGAUGAAAAUUGAUUUACAGAACAUUAAGAAAGGGACAUAAUCUAUUGAUCUUUAUCUACAAAGGAUCAAAGAUUGCAGAGAUCAGUUUGUUGCAGUGGGUGUAAUCAUGUCUGAUGAAGACAUUGUUAUUGUUGCUCUUCGAGGUUUACCACCUGAAUACAAUACUAUUAAAGCUGAUAUUAGAGGAAGAGAAAGUAUUGUCUCAUUGAAGGAACUUAGGUCUUAGUUAAAAGCUGAAGAAGCAACACUUGAGGAAGGUUUUAAACAGCCAUUGAUGACUGCAAUGAAUGCUAAUGGUCCAGGCUGUAUGUAUGAGUUAGGAGGAAUAUCUAGUACAAAAACUUCUUCUGGAAACUUUCCUAAUGGUUCCUCAUCCUGUUAGUUUUCCCCAGGUCCUCAAAUGGUGCAAGGUGUUCAGAUGCCAAAUUUUGUUCAAAUGCCUAAUAUUGCACAAAUGGGCCAAGUGCCUCAGUAUACAUAGUUUUAGUAGUUGCCUCUUUCUUCUCCCACUAGACCAUAUGCUUUUGUCUUUCAAACAGAAUCUGGUACAUACAACAAUUUCAGGGGGAAUAAUUUGAAGUAUAAAGGCAAAGGGAAGAAAUUUCAUUUUGGAUUUCAGGGGUCUAAUCCUCAGUCUCAAUCUCAGACUAAUUUUCAGAACUUCAGUCCUCAAAUGUCAUCAGUGCAGCCUUAUAACCCUAUGCUUAUUUUUCAGAUUUGUGAUAAAAAAAGGGGUCAUUCUGCACUACAUUGCUUUCAACGUGGAUGUCAAAUAUGCAAUUGAGUUGGUCACACUGUAGCAACAUGCUUUGACAAGGGCAAUUCCAAUGCUUCCAUGUCUAUGUCUCAGCCUAUGUACUCACAAUAGUUUCAGGCUCCUGGUUUACAAGUUCAGCAUCUGGGUUCACUUAUGACUCCACAGUACAUACCUAAUCACUAUGUGGCACAACAAGCUCCUUCUCCUAUAGCUUUCCCUGCAAGGACCAAUCCCUUACCUUCUGCACCACAACAAGAGUUCUGGAUGCUUGACUCUAGUGCCACCAAUCAUAUGACCUCUGAUUUCUCGAACCUGCAAGCUGCUACACUAUAUCCAUAUAAUGAAACUGUUACUGGAGCUGAUGGUGAAGGUUUACUCAUUUAUCAUAUCGGACAGUCUUGUCUUACUACUCAUCUCAUAAGCUUCAGUUAAACAAAGUGUUAUAUGUUCCACAACUAUCUCAACAUUUACUUUCGAUGUAUUAGUUAUGUAAAGAGAAUAAUUGUCGAUGCAUUGUUGAUGAGUUUUCUGUGUGUAUACAGGACAAGGUCACCAACAAGGUACUCUUCCAAGGACUGAGUAACAAUGUUGUUUACCCUCUUCCAUUGUUCAAACAACCACAACUCAAACUUACAUCAUAUCUUGGAUACAAAGCGAAUGAUUCCCUUUGGCAUUGUAGAUUGGGUCAUCCAAUCAAUUAUGUAGUUCAAUUAGCUAUUAGUACAUCAACUAUUUUGUUUCCUUGUAAUUCCAUACCCUAAACAUGUAUUUCUUGCUUGCAAGGUAAGUUUACCAAGUUACCAUUUCCAUUAGUAGUAGCCAAAUCAACUGUACCUUUGAAGUCAUUCACACUGAUGUGUGGGGACUUGCACCUGUCAUGUCUAUAAAAGGUCAUAGAUACUAUGUGUCCUUUAUAGAUGAAUGUACAUGGUAUACGUGGAUUUUUCCCAUGAUGAAUAAAGCUGAAGUUUGUGAAAUAUUCCUUCAGUUUCAUGCUUUUAUUCAAAAUUUCUUUUCUGUUAAUAUCAAAGUGUUACAAAGUGAUGGUGGUGGAGAGUUUGUUGGGUCUGUUUUUCAAAACUUUCUCAAAACCAAAGGUAUUUUGCAUCAAAUGUCUUGUCCCUGCACUCCUGAACAGAAUGGGUUGGAUGAGAGGAAAAAUAGACAUAUAGUUGAGACUGCCUUCACUUUACUCCAAAAAGCAUCUCUUCCUUCCAAAUUUUGUUUUCAUGCUUGUGCCACAGCUACAUACCUCAUUAAUCGAAUGCCAACAUCUGUCUUAAAAAUACAGUCUCCUUUUGAAUUGUUGUAUCAUUCUCCACCUAAACUUGACCAUUUAAGGGUAUUUGGGUGUGCUUGUUAUCCUACUUUGGAACCCUAUAGACAAAAUAAGUUAGCCCCAAAAACCACACAGUGCAUAUUUCUAGGGUAUGCAACUCAAUAUAAAGGGUAUAUUGUUAUGCUAUUAGAUAUCACAAGCUCAUUGUCUCUCGGGAUGUUGUCUUUGAUGAAGAUCUAUUUCCUAGUAUAUCAGUGCAUUCAUCUAGCUCACCAUCUUCUGUGUCACAAUCUCAGGUCCCUCACCCUAAUACUUUUCUUCAUCCCUCCAUUGUUCCUAUUCCACUUCCUCACCUUAAUUUUUCUUCUUCAUCGCUCAAUUCCUCUGUAAACCAUACUGUUACUCAGUACUCCUCUACAACACUUGGUGAUCUUGUCUCUGAUCGGAAUUCUACAUCCAUGGACAUAGUUCAACAAUCAUUGGACCAUUAUGACAUCCGUCCUGAUGUCACAGUAUCUCAAGUUCUAGAACUGCAACAUGUUUUUGUCUCCCAGAUUAACACAUCUGAUGCAAACCAGAUCAAAGUAUGGUAUUUUCAAGAAAAAGGUUCUUCUUACCAAGGUUCAAACUCCUUCUAUCAAAGAACCACAAUCUUACACAGCUGCUGCUAAGUCUGUUGAGUGGAGGAAUGAUAUGGAGGAGGAAAUGGCAGCUUUAGUUAAACAGAAGAUAUGAAAGUUGAUCCCUUUUCCACUUCAAAAAAUUUGGUUGGUUGUAAAUGGAUUUAUAAGCUCAAACACAAUCCAGAUGGCUCCAUUGCUCGAUACAAGGCUAGGUUGGUGGCCAAAGGUUUUUUCCAAGAAGCAGGUCUUGAUUAUUAUGAAACCUUUAGUCCUAUGGUUAAGCCAACCACAGUACGACUUAUGUUAUCUUUAGCUGCAACCAUAGGCUGGAAGUUGAAACAGCUUGAUGUAAAAAACGCUUUUCUGCAUGGUUUUCUUGAUGAAGAGGUGUAUAUGUGUCAACCCCAAGGCUUUAUGAAUCCUGAUCACCCUGAGUUUGUGUGCAAAUUGGAAAGAUAUCUUUAGUCUAAAUUAGGCUCCUCGAGCUUGGAAUGAUCGUUUUACCAGGUUUCUUCUUACUUUGGGCUUUAAAUCCUCAUAUGCUGAUCAUUUUCUAUAUGUGAAAUAUGAUGGUCAAUCUGUGGUUGUGUUAUUACUGUAUGUUGAUGAUAUAAUACUCAAUGGUGAUGGUGAGAUUAAAGUUCAAGCUGUGAUUGAUCAGUUAACAAGUGAGUUUGAUAUGAAAGAUUUAGGACUUCUACAUUAUUUUCUUGGUCUGCAAAUUGAAUAUCAGUCUCAGGGUUUACUUAUGCAUCAGUCCAAAUAUGUUUCUGAUCUACUCAUAAGACCAACAUGAUGGAUAACAAUCCUUGUACUACUCUUUGUCAUCCAAAUCAGAAAUUACUCAAUCAUUGCAGUUCUUCAUUUCAUGAUCUAAGUCUGUAUAGGAGUAUUGUUGAGGCUCUUUAGUAUUUGACAUUUACACGACUAGAUAUUGCUAUUCAGUCAAUUAGGUCUGCCAGUUCAUGCAAUCUCCUUUAGAAAGUCAUUUUGUUGCUGUCAAACGCAUUUUGAGAUAUCUCAGAGGAUCCAUGACUCUUAGGUUAUGUUUUAAACCUAGUUCAUUGGAUCUUAAAGCCUACACAGAUGUUGAUUAGGCUGGUGAUCCUAAUAAUAGAAGGUCAACCACAGGUUUUGUAGUGUUUCUGGGAUGUUAUCCCAUCUCAUGGAGUUCUAAGAAACAACACACUGUUAGUAGAUCCUCCACCAAAGCUGAAUACCAAGCUAUGGCGACUGCAGAGGUUGUUUGGUUGUACCAGUUGCUCAAGGAUUUACAUCUUCCUUGCACUGACAUUCCUCUUCUUCACUGUGACAACAUCUCUGCUAUGACAUUAGCCACCAAUCCAAUCUUACAUUCCAAAGCUAAACACAUAGAAAUCAAUUGUCAUUUUGUUCGAGAACAUGUUUAGCAAGGUUCAAUUUUACUGCAAUUUGUCACUUCUGCUGAACAACAUGCUGAUAUUCUUACCAAGGGGCUGUGUUUCCUUUUUUUAGCUCUCAUUGUAACAAUCUUAUGCUUGGUUGUUCCUCGCAUAAGCUUGACGGGGAAUGUUAGGAUAUAGACAUGUGUCAUAAUUGUAUUGGAGGAUCUUAGAGUUGGUUAUAGAUGUGUUGUAUUUAUACGACAAGAGGGUCGCAAUUGUAAGGUAAUGAAAAACUGAAAAUUUCCCUCCUCUUUCUCUCUCUAAGUUUGUUCUCUCUCUUCGAUGUUUUUCUCUUCCAUUGUUUCUCUGCAUUACAUACAGUAGCUUUGUUAUCACCCUUUUCUACACAUUUUGUCAAUCCUGCCUUAUUGCUUCAACUCCAGCCGUCAAACUCGAGCAGCACCAAAAACCACCUGCACCCCUGCUAGCAAUUCACUUAAAGAAGGAAUGACCAAUUCAGUUUUGAUGGAUUUGAUAAAUAUUCGUAGCAGAAGCAACAAAAACAUAUCAAAUGUGUAGCGAUGUUUAGAUAUGUGUAAGGGGGAUAUUUACGUGUAUAUAACUCAAAACUACAUAAACAGAACGACUUUGGAGAUAUGAAACUUGAAGGCUCGGAGAGCUCCUACACAAAACUACAUAAACAGAACGAUUUUGGAGAUGUGAAAGUCUGAAGGGCACGGACCUUUGUGAAAUUAAACAAAACCUUGAGUGAUUAUUCAAUUAACCCAACUGUUUUUCAGUAAAAACCCAAUUGCUCUUUAGCAAAACUUUCUUAGCUCUUCAACUACAAUUUCAAAGCCUUCCUUCAAACAAACACUGCCUAUUCAUGACGUCUAAAACAUUAACAACUAUGUCACCCUAUUGUAUGAUUCAGUUGAUGUGCAAUUCCAAACACCCUGAUUUCCUCUCUGAGGCUCAUGUUUUGUACUAAAUCAAAUAUGACGCCAGUAAUCUAGGUGGAUUUCUGUAGCAUUAUCUUGCCCUUCAUGGCCUAAAUCUUGCUAGAGUUUUACUGCUUUCUUUACAUUGCCAGGCAAUUUAUAUUUCAAAUUAUGUAGUUCAGCCAAUCGGCCUAGAUUUUAGUUUUGUGAACGUUUGUAAUCUUGACUCCGUCAUGAAAUGAUUACAUUAUGUUUUCCGUUUUAGUUUCUAUUUCGCUUUCAUUUACUUUUUAGGAAAGUAUACACAAAGUUACAAUGAAUAUUUAAGUCCUCAUUCGCUCGAUGCACAUAAAAGUACUUUAACCAAAUCAACAUCCCACUCAGUGCACAAUUAUUUGGUUCAGAAGUCAGAUUAACGCGUAACUUGCACACAUGCACAACACAAACAUUGCCUGUGUUGGCAGUCUCCAACAAUGGCACACCUAUUUUCUCUUCUCUCGAGCCAUCUCAUGACAUUGAGACUAAAAACAAUAUUCAGGACAAAUACGUGUUGAACUGCGUAACCAAGCUCCGUCCAAGUUUUGGCACCAAAACUAUAUAAAUGCAUGUUCUAGUGUGCUAUUUGAGUUGAAUAAUUAAUAUAUGAUUCAUUUCCAACUGCAUAGAAGUUCUUUUAUUAAUCAUAAAAUCAUAAUAUGGAAAGCAAACACACAACCCAAAUUACAAUUUUACAGUCUUAACGGAUCGUAACUCCUCAUUUUUUUGUAGGCAACUUGGGCCCUGGAGACUGCACUUUUAAAAGAAACAUCACAAUAACUAGAUAUUUUAGGCUCAUAAAGCUACGGGUUCCACUAGUGUAGAAACUAUAAGAUCUUUUAGCACGCCCUUAGCAUUAGUGUAGCCAUCUUCACACUUGUACACAACAUCCAUGACCCGAGCAAAAUUGAGAAUACGAAUUAGCAGGGGCAUGGGGACAGCGGUAGGGUGGAGGCAUGCUUCGUUUAUGUCCUUCCAUGCAUUAUUCACUUGUCUUUUAAGUUCGAUUAUCGCUUCUUCUUCUGUGGCAUCAUAUUUCUUCAUGUAACAGUUCACAGCUGAGAUAAAAUGUUCUCUCUCUUGCUCAAACUAGGCAUGAGGAUUAAGAUAAAAGGUAAUAUAAGUAUUAAUCCAAUCAUAAUAGUAGUGCUUUGUCAAGAUUUCAGAGGAGAGGGGGGGGGGGUGGCACUUAAUAUGAGGUUAUAUUUUAGGGUAAAUUAGAAGUGGAACCACUUAAUAUGAGAUUAUAUUUUAGGGUUAAUCUCAUAUUACUACCUUAAAGUUUCAUGGUUUUCAAUAUUUGGUACAUAAAGUUUAUUUCAUCUUGGAGUCAUACCUUAAGUCUUAAUUUUGAGACAGUCUCAUACAUCAAUUAAGCUAGUUGUUAAGUCAACCAUUAACUAAUGAUGUGGUACUCAUGUGAACAAUGAUUGGGCGCUACGUGUCAUUAAGUGUCCACAAGGAAAUUUAAAGAUCAAAAUAAAAUUAAAAAUUAAUAAAUUAAUAAAAAUAACAAAAUAGAAAAUAUGGGGAUACUUGUUCCCUCUCCUAGGCAUGACAUUUUGGACCCAACCAGUUAAUCCGAUCCGACCUAACCCGUUAAUAUUUGUAUUUGGAUAGAUGCUUAACGGGUCGGGUCGCUAACGGGUGAACCCGUUAAAUAAUGGGUCAUUUUGGGUCAACCUGUUAGACCCGUUAACACCCGUUAGCAUCCGUUAGUUAAAGGUAUUUUAGUAAUUUUAGUAAAGUCUUAAUAACAAAAAAAUAAACUUUAUGCAAAAAAAAUAAUAAUAAUAAUUGUUAACGGAUGAAAUAGAUGACCCGUUGGGUCAAUCCGUUAAACCCGUUAGCAUCCGUUAGUUAAAGAUAUUUUAGUAAUUUUAGUAAAGUCUUAAUAACAAAAAAAUAAACUUUAUGCAAAAAAAAAAUAAUAAUAAUUGUUAACGGAUGAAACGGAUGAUCCGUUAGCUUAACGAGUCGGGUUCAAAUGACCCGUUAGCUUAAGGGUUGAGUUCGGAUGACCCGUUAACUUAACGAGUCAGAUUAAACCCGACCCAAACCCAAUAAACCCAACCGUUUACAGGUCUCGCCUCUCCCCCGUCCAUUUUUCUUUCUUCUACAAUUUCUUUGUGAUCUGGUUGCUACGAAUGUGCAACUUUGGUGCUUCUGGCAGGUUGCAGCGGGUGGUCAGGCUGGCGCAAGUUUGUAACGGUCGAGCAGCAAUAGGUGCGGGUUAUGGUGGAUCGAGAUUGGCUGGGUGGUUCAGGAAGAAAAAAAACGGUUGGAAUCUGGUGUGCCUUUGGCUUUGGUUAGCUCCGUCGCGGCUCGGAUUAAGGAACCAGAGAUGAAAACCCAAUGAGUGGGAUUUCUCUGGCCUUCACCUUGGUCCCCAAAUUUCUGUAAUUUUUUAAGGGCAAGAAUAGGAAGAACACGCGAUGGAAAUUGAAUUUGGAAAAAAAAAAAUUGAAGGGCAAACUCCAUGGACAAAGAAUUCGAAUUCUUGGGAGCAAAUCGAAUCGAUAUGCUUAUCAUCGGGCCCACCCAUUCCCAGUGGCUGCGAAAGGAGGGUUGCUGGGUAUAUGAGGUUUAAGGUAGAGAAGAGAAAGAAAGUCUGCAGGCUGAACGCAUUUUGCUCAAAUUUUUUUUUUAUUUGUUUAAAUUUUUAUUUUUUUUAUUUUUUAAUAUUUUAGUUUUCUAAUUUUUUAAUAUCCACGUGAACCUUUAAUGACACGUGGCGUUUAGUCAUUUUCCAUACAGACGCCACAUCAUUAGUUAAUGACUAACUUAACAACAAACUUAACGGAUGUACGAGACUGUUCUAAAAUUAAGACUUGGUGUAUGAUUCUAGGAUGAAAAAAAAUUCAUGUACUAAAUAUUGAAAACCAUAAAAUUUUAGGGUUGUAAACUGAGAUUAAUCUUAUUUAUUAUGUCAAGUUUUUAGUGUGAGACUCGUUGCAUUCGACAAUACUCAUUAAUACAAUUUACAUAUACGAUUCAGUACCUUGUGGUCCACUAUGUCAUCCAUGAGUCUGACAAUUUUUGAUGCAGCCUUCACCGCCUGAGGGAAAGUUACAACCAAUCGAAGGAGUCUAUUGUAGCUUCUUCCAUUCCAACAAAGGAUGUGGUUAUUAACAACGGGUAGCCACUGGUGACGAGUGAUACAGACAUGUAUUCAUCCAGUGACGGUAUGUGCUUCUGGUGGAACAAUUUGGCUUCAUCGAAGUAGCCUCUAACUUGUUUUUUCAUCUGACACAUACCAGAUCAUGAGAUUAUAAUAAUUCAAAAAUCAUCUCUACUGUUAAUUCAUAUUGAUAUAUAAAGAUUAUAUAUAAAUAAUAAAUUGUUCCUAUACAUAUUGUGAAGUAUUUGCAGCACGUUUUUCCGGCCAUGUACUAUAAGCAUAUAUUGAGGAUUAGUACCGCUUCUUUUGCAUGGUGGAUGCGAUAUAGCUUCCCAUCGUGCAAAAGUUUUCCAUGAAUUUCACUGUAUACAUCUAACAACGCCCUAUAGCAGAUUUUCAUAUACUUUGAUAGUUGAUCUAUAGCUGAGACAUCCCACCUGAUCAGGUAAUACAUAAAUCAGUUGUGUGUAAUUAGGUUAGUUUUUCCUUUUGAUCGGAUGGUGGUGUAAGGUAAGAUAUUUUAUAUGUAAGAGAAUUUUAACUAAUGAUAUAUUCAUACCUCUCAAUAGCUUCAGUAAAGAGCUCUAGUUCUUCACAUGUGCCAUAUUCAUAAACUUCAUCGAUAAUGGAUGUUAUAGCAGUAACUUUGCAUGAUGUCCGCCUAGCAAAGGAAUACUGAGGCUGAAAGUAGACUGACAUACUCCAGCAGAAGUAGACCUCAACCAAUCUGUCUCUUGCGAAAGGUAGCUUGUUUGGCACGUCCAAGUCCUUCCACCACCUGAGUUACAAACAUAACUAUUUAGUAGCUAGAGAUGGAGAAUUCAACUCUUUAGUAAGUGAUAUAUAUGGUUGAAUAAGUAAUUAAUUAACCUUGUGAUUUCGCUUAGUUCUAUCUGAUGGACUCGUUGCAGUCGGUUGAAAUCCAACUUGGCAAACGUUAGGAGAGUUUCAUUAGGUGAUUCUCUUAGUUCCUGGUAGACAGACAAGUAGUACCUUGCUUCAACCCUGGUAAACCCCUUCGGAGCUGCUGAUUUAAGGCAUGGGUUACUGUUUUAGCCAGUGAGGGGCUUAAACGGUAUAUAGUCGACUCAAGCUGCGUGGUCGUGAAGGUUAGUGCCUCAUCUAGUAUCUCCUCUCCAUGUAUUCUAAGGUGUGUGGCUUCAUACAAGCUUAGUAGUCCUACAACAUCAUCAACGAGUGUUUCCUUGAAUUUUCCAUCACCGUCCUUGAAUUUGUUGAAUAAGUCUGCAUGACCAACAAAAUGGAAAAUUCAGAACCUCAAAAAGCAUUUAGAUAAAAAGAACAAAAUAUAUCACCAGAUCACCAUCCAAGAGUACUUACCGCAUGAAAUGUUAUAACCUUGUUGUCUAAGCAAUCGAAAAUGAAGAGGUGUACAGGUCAUCCAAAUCAUAUGAGUUCUCGUGAAUUUUCUGUAAAAUUUCUUGAAUCUCAUUUCCAAAAUGGUAGGACACACCUAAGCGCUGAAUGUCAUCAAUCAAGUUCAGCAUUUGUGAAACAUUUUCAACUGAAGUCAUUAGCAUCCUUCUCACUUCUUCCUUCAGUUCUUGUACAUGUUGUUCAAGUUCAACAUCCACUUCCUCCACAACAUCACAUUGAUUUAAGAAAAAAGAAAACGCAUAACCUUUAUGAUGUCAAUUUCUAAAUUGUAAAUAUUGAGAAAAGAGAGGCACCUAGCCUGAAAUAGUUAUUGCAUGGCAGUUUUCAUGCUUUAAGAACUUGUUUUUCCCCAAAAAAAAAAAAAAAGUGUGUGAAUUAACUUUGGUAGUUAGAUUCGCAACAUGUUUGCCACGUUAAGGAAAGGAAAGUACUUUUUGGUUAUUUAUUUUUAUUUUUUACUCUUUGUUUAAAAUUACAAAUUUAAUUUUCAUAAUAAUAUAUGUUCAAAUUAAUAGUUUAUUGUAGUAUUAAAGAAGUCUUACCAAAGAAGCAUAUGACAGAAAAUGGUCGCCCCAAAUGCUGGGAGAAAAUUUGGCUGAAGGCUUAGGCCGAUGAACAUCAAAAGUGUCAUUUGGGUUUGAAGAUUGAGAUAGUGGAACUUCCACAAAAGACAUAUGUCAAAGAUUUCAAACCUGAAGUGAACUAGCCAAGUGUUAUUGCUUUUGUAUCAAGUCCUGGUGUG